AGCUUUGCGCAGUGGCAGUAUCGUAGCCAAUGAGGUUUAUCCGAGGCGCCAUUAUUGCUAAUUGAAAGGCGAAAUGAGCCAAAUGCGCACGAAUGGUUGAACAAAACCCAGUACGGUCCACAUAGUGUACCGCUCAGCCUUAAAAUGAAUGAAAUUUGAUAGAUGCUAUGACAC
rnacentral:snRNA from 13 species